UACGUAGGGGGCGAGCGUUGUCCGGAAUUACUGGGCGUAAAGGGCACGCAGGCGGUCCAACAGGUCAGAUGUGAAAGCCCGGGGCUCAACCCUGGAAGUGCAUUUGAAACCGUUGGACUUGAGUACGGUAGAGGAGAGGGGAAUUCCUGGUGUAGAGGUGAAAUUCGUAGAUAUCAGGAGGAACACCGGUGGCGAAGGCGCCUCUCUGGACCGAUACUGACGCUGAGGUGCGAAGGCGUGGGUAGCGAACAGGAUUAGAUACCCGUGUAGUCCCUGAG
rnacentral:rRNA from 1 species